CAAAGAUUUGGUCCUAAUCUUAGUGUUACUUUUUACUAAACCUACACAUGUAAGUAUCAGCAAACCAGUGAAAAUGCCCUAAAAGUCACACCAGACAUAAGGAGCUGGUAUCAGGCACGCCAUGACAGCCCAAAACACCUUGCUUCGCCACACCCCCAAGGGUACUACAACAGUGAUUAACUUUAAGCAAUAAGCACAAGCUUGACUUAGUUAUAGUAAACCAUAACUAUAGGGCUGGUAAAUCUCGUGCCAGCCACCGCGGUUAUACAAGAAGCCCAAAGUAACAACAACAACGGCGUAAAAUGUGGUUAAAUUAAAUCCACCAAAACCUAAGAUUAACCCCUACCAAACUGUCAUACGUAAGGCACAAAUUAGCCCAGUACGAAAGUAACCUUAGUAUAUCAGAAAACUUGAACCCACGAUCGUUAAGGCACAAACUGGGAUUAGAUACCCCACUAUGCUUAACCCUAAACUUAGAUAUUUUAAAUACAAAACUAUCCGCCAGAAAACUACGAGCAAAACGCUUAAAACUCCAAGGACUUGGCGGUACCUUAAAUCCCCCUAGAGGAGCCUGUUCUAUAAUCGAUAAUCCACGCUAAACCUCACCAUCUUUUGCCAACCCAGCCUAUAUACCACCGUCACCAGCCUACCUUAUGAAAGCCAAAAAAGUCAGCCCAAUAGCCCAAACAGCUAACAAGUCAGGUCAAGGUGUAGCCAAUUAAGAUGGAAGAAAUGGGCUACAUUUUCUAUAGUAGAAAUAACCACGGAACAGAACCAUGAAACACGAUCUGAAUAAAAGAAGGAUUUAGUAGUAAAUUGAGAGCAGAGAGCCCAAUUUAAAACGGACCUGAGGUACGCACACACCGCCCGUCACCCCCAUCAAUAAUAAUUUUAACUGUAAAUAACACCUUACAAACACAAAUAGAUGGGGUAAGUCGUAACAAGGUAAGUGUACCGGAAGGUGUACUUGGAUUA
rnacentral:ncRNA from 1 species